rnacentral:misc_RNA from 1 species
CAGAGUUGCAAAACUCCCACAAACCAUCGCGAAUCUUACCCGUACGGUUGCCUCGGCGCUGGCGGUCCGGAAGGCCCUCGGGCCCCCCGGAUCCUCGGGUCUCCCGCUCGCGGGAGGCUGCCCGCCGGAGUGCCGAAACCAAACUCUUGAUACUUUAUGUCUCUCUGAGUAAACUUUUAAAUAAGUCA